CAGAGAGGUCACUUUGGCUCUGCUAAUGCACUAAAAACAAUGCAGGAUGCAACAGUCAAGUCACUGCUCUCUGCAGCCACAGAAGACGCUUGAUUCUCCAGUGGUUUGACUUCACCCCCAGAGGCGCAUGCCAUUGUCUUUCCAAACAGAUGGAUGCAUGCCAGCAAAAAAGCUAGAUCUGCAGAACUGGAUUCCUGCCCAGCAACCUGGCCUACAGAAGCAAAAGAGGACAGGUGUACUCAGUUACUAACCUUCCCAGGCGCAACCUAUCACAGACAUCAAGAUAAAGGCAUUUUUACCCCACUCUCCAAUCAUGUUCCCAGGAUGGCUAUAGUUGCAAUGGUUUGUAGCCACUGGUGCAUGCAUGUGAAUGCAGCAGAUAUCCACUCAUGCACCAGGACUUCCACUUCAUAAUGCUACCCCCCUUCAGCUCAGUGCACGCUCCCACUAAGAAUCUGUUGCAGUGUUGGAAGACACUCUGGAGCAGAUUUGGGGGUAUGUGCACGGCUACGGUAGAAGAAAAGGAGGAGGGAAAAACAUAUUGCAUGAAAGUCCAGUAAACGUAAUAAUUGAGAACAAAUACAUCUCUACUGCUGUAGUCAUGACUCCUUGUACUAAAAAAGAACACUGAUCACACCUGAAUUUUUUCAUUGUUAGUUUAUUGCAAUGUGAACCAGUUAUUAUGAAUUCUUGACACAUGGAACUUCUGAACAUAUAACUUGGUUUUAUGUCGCAUCUCAAUACAGUACAAUAAAAUCUGUUUAUACAAAAUACUCUAUUGGCUUUAUAAACAAACAUAUUCUAAAGUAUGAAAAUACCCUGACCUGUUCCUUUUUGUACAAUUUUAGAGCAGAAUGCAAUUACAAAAAAAAA